UGGGGAAUUUUGGACAAUGGGCGAAAGCCUGAUCCAGCAAUGCCGCGUGUGUGAAGAAGGCCUUCGGGUUGUAAAGCACUUUUGUCCGGAAAGAAAUCCUUGGCUCUAAUACAGUCGGGGGAUGACGGUACCGGAAGAAUAAGCACCGGCUAACUACGUGCCAGCAGCCGCGGUAAUACGUAGGGUGCAAGCGUUAAUCGGAAUUACUGGGCGUAAAGCGUGCGCAGGCGGUUUGCUAAGACCGAUGUGAAAUCCCCGGGCUCAACCUGGGAACUGCAUUGGUGACUGGCAGGCUAGAGUAUGGCAGAGGGGGGUAGAAUUCCACGUGUAGCAGUGAAAUGCGUAGAGAUGUGGAGGAAUACCGAUGGCGAAGGCAGCCCCCUGGGCCAAUACUGACGCUCAUGCACGAAAGCGUGGGGAGCAAACAGGAUUAGAUACCCUGGUAGUCCACGCCCUAAACGAUGUCAACUAGUUGUUGGGGAUUCAUUUCCUUAGUAACGUAGCUAACGCGUGAAGUUGACCGCCUGGGGAGUACGGUCGCAAGAUUAAAACUCAAAUGGAAUUG
rnacentral:rRNA from 1 species